AGGCCCUGCUGGUUGAGCUGGGAGACUCAGUCCCAAGGCUUUGAACAGACACGUAAUUUCAAUGAUGUUGGGGUUGGGGGGACCAUAAGCUCGCACAAUCCUAAAUCCCAGCCCCAAGGAGGCCUAGGGAGAGCCUGAGGCUCGAAUGAAUGCCACAUCUUUCUCAACUCUGGAGUUCAAUGGUAACACAUGUAUCUCCACCACCUCUGUCAGGAAUGUAUCAUGCCAGGCAACUAGACCCUGAGAUCUGCGAUCUCUGGCUUGGGCUUGGUACAAAGAUGGGAUCAUGGAAUCUUUGCCCCAGAGAUGGUGAGUGGUUGGUAGCCAGUGUAUUACAAGUGAAUCCAACAAGCCCAUCCUGGAGGGAGCUAGGCUGGAAGAACUCAAGGACAGGGGCCUGUGGUAGGAGCAUUUUCACAAAGUCAUCAUCAGAGAUAUUCAGAUAGUUUAAUGGUCUCCUAAACCCCAGACUCCACCUUCUGCAGAGCUCUCCAUUCACUCCACAAGAAGAGGAGGAAAGAAGAUACAAUUGAGGGAAGCCCAAGACAGGAUGGGAGAGGUCUGACCGUGGAAGUGCAGAGGAGACAUUAGAGUUGUGAGCAUCUGAUGGGCUGAAAAAGGGGCCUCCCAUGGUCUUGCCUCUGCCCUUCCAUCCCUGGGUAUUGCCUUCCUAGUCAGCCACUCUCUCUGGCACAUAAGGUGCAAACAGUCACCCCCCUCCGACAUUGAUACAACAGGAUGGUUCUCCUUUGCUUCUUUUUGCCUCCUUAUUUAUAUAAUAGGCCUCUCAUAAUUCAUCUUUGAAGAGCUCCUCUUCAUGCAUUGGGAGUUUCUCUCUGUGCAUGCAACUGCUCUUUGUCCCAAGAUACUUAUUAGCAAGAGCCACUCCAGAUCCUCUGUCAUCUGGUAAUAAUGCCCUCCAGGUACCCAGGACCCCCUUUUAAGAGCUGGAACCCUUACACCAGGGUUCUCUUCCUUGGUCCAAUUUUACCUCUUCUUCCAUCUCAGCCCUCACCCUCCAUGAUGUCUACAUAAAAGCCUACUUUCGGGGUAUGGCAUGAAAAUCCAGCUUCCACAAGAUCUACUUAAUGGCCAAAUGAAAUAAUGCCUGUCUAAUCUGGAUUCUUAGAAGUCGAGAUGGAAAAUGAGUGCUAAUAAUUUGAGAGGGCAAGGAACCUCUGUAAUGGAGUGUGGAAAUGAUGCAGAGGAGAGAGGGAGACAAUAAAAGAUGCAUUAUCAAACCAGCUAUUACAGUGGGCAGUGGAUGCUUAAUCUCAGUGAGGACACCCUGGGAACCAGUGUAGAACAUGCACCCCAGAGUUAACCUCAACCAAGGAGUGAGGGAGCUGGGAUAUUUAUACACCAGUUCCCCAUCACUCAAGGCUGAACACUGGAGCAUCAAUUCUCUAGUAUGUCCAGACUGCCAAACAGGCAGAGAAAAUAGGUUUUGGCACCAGAGAAUACUAUCUGGAAGCUGGAAGUCAGCCAUGCGCCCCGAAGUGCAGAGGGUGAGGAUCUAUAUAUGGACACUAUCUGCUUCAGUACCCCAGGUCAACACUGGAAAACCGGUGAGCCGAGUUAUGCUUUGUUUCAGACAUGCUUUCGUUAGCUCCCUUAGUAUGUCAGGAAGUAAACUGGAAUUAACUGCCAACGUUGGUAGAAUGGGAGGUUUCAUGUAACAACCCCAUUUCCAGUUUCUGUUGAAAAAUAAGAUCUGGCAACACUGGGCCCAAAUCCCUGCCUGGCAAGAAUCAGCUGAGAGCAAUUACAGCUGCCCCUUUUAGAUGGGGCAUGAGCUCUCCGGACCCCAAACCCCACGAGAUCAUUGUUACUCAUAUCUAUUAGCUGGCCACCAAGACCUCUAAGUUGGAGACCCUCUGUUCUAAAAGUUUGUUGCCACUCUGAUCCCUCUGUGAGUAACAUAAACCUGGUACAUCUUGUAUGUUUCAUCUCUUCCUUCCAGAUCUGUGAAGUGUAUUGCUCCAUCUCUCCCAUCUCGACCUUUUUAAUCCCUCUUGGACUUUUGUCAAUGAAAGGAACCAGGAGACCGGAUCCAUUAAACCAUAUCCAGACAUCAGAGUUAUUAUAAACUCUUUCUCUCUGGGUCAGGGUAGUCAAUCUCAGACAUUUUAAAAUUUAAUUUUAAAAAUUUUAAAUACAAAAUGUUUUUCAUGAACUCAAGGCCAUUGGGGGGAAGUGAACUAUUUCCCUUUUUACUCCCUCAACCCCUUCCAAUGUGAAGCUCCAGUAUCUCCUCUCUCUCUCUCUCUCUCUCUCUCUCUCUCUCUCUCUCUCUCUCUCCACUCCAAACCUCGCCUCAUCUCCUUGUUCCUUAAUAUACUCAGUGUUCACAUUCAGGUUUUUCUAAUAAGUAGUUAAAUCCCCCCACCACGAACUCCAGCUCCCUGGCGUUUCACUGGGAGUCUCUCUCAGCCCUCCAGGGAAGCCGGCACUGUUAUUUAUUGUUUUUGUUUCAAAUCAUUAUUUAAUCAAGAACGGGGAAAAAAGGCAACCUCUCACUUACACUUCAAAAUUUAAUUUCAGCUGAAUUCUAAGAUCAAGAGGCAGCACGGCCUAAUAGGAUACAAAAAUACAAUCAAGAAGAGAAUUCCAAUUAAACUGAACAAGUCCAUUUACUGAGCUUCAAAUGGCCCCAUAGAGAGAGGCGGCUAUACAUUUUUUUUUCUUCCCUGCCAUAUGGGAGACUGGAAAUUCUCAUGUGAGUGUGGAGCUGUAUGGUAGAGCUUUUAGCUAGAGGGUUCUGGUUAUUCCUUAAAAAAAAAAAAGCUUUUGUUUCACAAAGACAUUAAGUUUAUUUUCCUUUCUGUUGUUCAUCUUCCUUAGUGCACUAAUUAGGAAGACAGCAAAAGAAUGGAUUCAUUGACCUGGUAGGAGUUCAUCUGGGAGGAGGAGGAGAUGGAGAAAGAGAAGGGAGAUGUGCCGGGCAUUGUGGGAAGACAACAAAGUCCUUUAGGGCUGGGGCUAUCCCAUGGGGCUGUGCACUGCAUUGAACCUUUGGUAGGCAGAGGUGGUCUGGCCUCCUUAUUAUUUUCCUUAAGCAGGAGCCAGAGGGAAUGACAGCUUCAGGCUCACCCUUUCUUUGAAGCCUCUCCUGAGGACCCCCUGCCCACCUGUUCUCAGAAAUCCCCACCGGGACCCAGUUAGAUACAUUAUCACCAGCCCAAAUUGAAACAAGAAAAAAUAAGUUCAAUGUAAUUAGUUUUUCAUCCUGCUAAAUACUUUCGAUUUGAAGACUCAUUUUUUUCUUCCAAGGUCGUGUCUUUCCUACUUCUUCUGAUGGUAAAAUCUCCCUUUAGUGAUAGAAAAUGGUGGUUUUUUCUGUUCUUCCUUGGCAAAAGUAAAAGUUGACAAUGCUAUGUCACUUCCCAUUAAACAAAACAAAACAAAACAAAACAAACAAAAACCAAUGGCCCAGAAAAUCCCCAAAUCUCAUUUCAUCCACCUUCUGUACUUUGGUUCCUCCCUUCUCUCAACUAUGAUGAUGGUAUUGAAUGUUGGAUAUUGUGUCUCCCAGUUGAGCAAGAGCUCAAAGGCUUUGCAGAAUGUGCAAGCACCUGGACUAGGGGUCAGAAGGCCUGAGCCAUCCAGAUUCUCCCUCAGCCCUAUUUUCCCUAUCUACAAAGGGGGAAGCAUAUUCCCAUCUCGCCUUUCUCCUGGGGUUGUUG
rnacentral:lncRNA from 10 species